rnacentral:rRNA from 1 species
CUACGGGAGGCAGCAGUGGGGAAUUUUCCGCAAUGGGCGAAAGCCUGACGGAGCAACGCCGCGUGAGGGAUGAAGGCCUCUGGGCUGUAAACCUCUUUUAUCAAGGAAGAAGAUCUGACGGUACUUGAUGAAUAAGCCACGGCUAAUUCCGUGCCAGCAGCCGCGGUAAUACGGGAGUGGCAAGCGUUAUCCGGAAUUAUUGGGCGUAAAGCGUCCGCAGGCGGUCUUUUAAGUCUGCUGUUAAAGCGUGGAGCUUAACUCCAUUUCAGCAAUGGAAACUGGAAGACUAGAGUGUGGUAGGGGCAGAGGGAAUUCCCGGUGUAGCGGUGAAAUGCGUAGAUAUCUGGAAGAACACCAGUAGCGAAGGCGGCUUUCUGGCGUGAUACUGACGCUGAAGCGCGAAGGCUAGGGGAGCAAACAGGAUUAGAUACCCUGGUAGUCCUAGCGGUAAACGAUGGGCACUAGGUGUCGGAGGGCGUUGACCCCUUCGGUGCCGCAGCUAACGCAUUAAGUGCCCCGCCUGGGGAGUACGAUCGCAAGAUUGAAACUCAAAG